rnacentral:snRNA from 2 species
AGCUUUGUGCAGUGGCAAUAUCGUAGCCAAUGAGGUUUAUCUGAGGCGCAAUUCUUGCUAAUUGCAAACUUUUCCCAAAUAUUUGUUAAACUCAUAUAUAAAUUUCAUAUGAAUUUCAUCUACAUAAAUAUAUAU